rnacentral:rRNA from 1 species
UACGGGGGGAGCAAGCGUUGUUCGGAUUUACUGGGCGUAAAGGGUGCGUAGGCGGCUGCCUAAGUCAGGUGUGAAAUCUCUCGGCUCAACCGGGAAACUGCGCUUGAUACUGGGCGGCUCGAGUGAGGUAGGGGUGUGUGGAACUUCCGGUGGAGCGGUGAAAUGUGUAGAUAUCGGAAGGAACGCCAGCAGCGAAAGCGGCACACUGGGCCUUUUCUGACGCUGAGGCACGAAAGCCAGGGGAGCGAACGGG